AUUAUACUCCCUCCGUUCUGAAUUACUUGUCGCAGGUAUGGAUGUAUCUAGAUGUAUUUUAGUUCUAGAUACAUCCAUUUCUGCGAUGAGUAAUUUGGAACGGAGGGAGUAGUUU
rnacentral:pre_miRNA from 1 species